GACAGAGGUGCCAAGCGUUAGGCGGAAUCACUGGGCUUAAAGCGUGUGUAGGCGGAUUGGUAAGUACCUUGUGAAAUCCCACGGCUUAACCGUGGAACUGCUUGGUAUACUGCUUAUCUUGGGCCACUUAGGGGUUACCGGAACAAACGGUGGAGCGGUGAAAUGCGUAGAUAUCGUUUGGAACGCCAAUGGUGAAAACAGGUAACUGGGAGUGUGCCGACGCUGAGACACGAAAGCCAGGGGAGCGAACGGG
rnacentral:rRNA from 1 species